GGUUGUGGCUCAGUGGUAGAGCACUUGCCUAUCAUAUGUAAGGCACUGGGUUUGAUUUUCAGUACCACAUAUAAAUAAAUAAAGGCCCAUCAACAACUAAUAAAAUAUUUUUAAAAUAAAUAAAUAAAAGGGCUGGGGAUACGGCUCAGUGGUUAAGCACCCCUGGGUUCAAUCCCCAGUACCA
rnacentral:tRNA from 1 species